rnacentral:rRNA from 1 species
GGAGGAAAGCAGGGGAUCGUAAGACCUUGCGUUAAUGGAGCGGCCGAUAUCUGAUUAGCUUGUUGGUGAGGUAAAGGCUCACCAAGGCGACGAUCAGUAGCUGGUUUGAGAGAACGACCAGCCACACUGGAACUGAGACACGGUCCAGACUCCUACGGGAGGCAGCAGUGGGGAAUUUUGGACAAUGGGGGCAACCCUGAUCCAGCCAUUCCGCGUGAGUGAAGAAGGCCUUCGGGUUGUAAAGCUCUUUCGCAAGGGAAGAAAACUUAUGAUCGAAUAAAUCAUGAGGUUGACGGUACCUUGAUAAGAAGCACCGGCUAACUACGUGCCAGCAGCCGCGGUAAUACGUAGGGUGCGAGCGUUAAUCGGAAUUACUGGGCGUAAAGCGUGCGCAGGCGGUUUUGUAAGUCGGAUGUGAAAUCCCCGGGCUCAACCUGGGAACUGCGUUUGAAACUACAAGGCUAG